UCUACCAUGGCCCAGUGGUUAAGGUGUUGGAUUUGAAACCCAGUAAGGUUUCCCUGCAGGGUCAAACCCUGCUUGAGGUG
rnacentral:tRNA from 1 species